rnacentral:tRNA from 1 species
GUCCAGGGUAGCCUAGUGGCUCAUGGAAUCUGCCCGGUAAGCGGAAGGUCGUGGGUUCGAUUCCCAUCCCUUGACA